GACGAACGCUGGCGGCGUGCUUAACACAUGCAAGUCGAACGGAAAGGCCUGCUUUCCCUUGUGGAUUGCGGGUACUCGAGUGGCGAACGGGUGAGUACCACGUGAGUGAUCUGCCCCCAACUUGGGUAUAAGCCUGGGAAACUGGGUCUAAUUCCCGAUAGGACUGCAGGGUGGUGCCUGUGGUGGAAAACGAUUUUCUAGUGGUUGGGGAUGAGCUCGCGGCCUAUCAGCUUGUUGGUGGGGUAAUGGCCGACCAAGGCGGCGACGGGUAGCCGGCCUGAGGGGAGCGACGGUGGCACUGGGACUGGGCCAAGGCCCAGACGGGUACGAGAGGUGGGGGUGGGGAGACAUGGGGGGUGGGCGGAAGCCUGAUGCAGCGAGGGCGCGAGGAGGAUGACGGGGUUGGGGUGGUAAUCUGCCUGCGAACGAGAGGAGGGGGCCUGGUUGGAAGGGAGGUGACGGUAGUGGCAGAAGAAGCACCGGCUAACUACGUG
rnacentral:rRNA from 1 species